GCCAGGCGUGGUGGCGCAUGCCUGUAAUCCCAGCUACUCAGGAGGCUGAGGCAGGAGAAUCGCUUGAACCUGGGAGGUGGAGGUUGCAGUGAGCCAAGAUUGCGCCACUGCACUCCAGCCUGGGUGACAGAGCGAGACUCCGUCUUCA
rnacentral:SRP_RNA from 2 species